rnacentral:tRNA from 1 species
AGACUGUAUAAUAGUAAGAUAAGACACCGCCUUUUCACGGCGGUAACACGGGUUCGAAUCCCGUACGGACUA